rnacentral:rRNA from 1 species
GAUGAACGCUAGCGGCAGGCUUAACACAUGCAAGUCGAACGGUAACAGUCCCUUCGGGGAGCUGACGAGUGGCAAACGGGUGAGGAACACGUACGCAACAUACCCUUUUCUGGGAGAUAGCCCGAAGAAAUUCGGAUUAAUAUCCCAUAGCAUCACAGAGUGGCAUCACUUUAUGAUUAAAGAAUUUCGGAAGAGGAUUGGCGUGCGUCCCAUUAGGUAGUUGGUAGGGGUAACGGCCCACCAAGCCGACGAUGGGUAGCUGGUGUGAGAGCAUGACCAGCCACACGGGCACUGAGACACGGGCCCGACUCCUACGGGAGGCAGCAGUGAGGAAUAUUGGGCAAUGGACGCAAGUCUGACCCAGCCAUGCCGCGUGAAGGAUGAAGGCGUUCUGCGUUGUAAACUUCUUUUAUUGGGGAAGAAACCACCGAUUUCUAUUGGUGUUGACGGUACCCAAGGAAUAAGCACCGGCUAACUCCGUG